rnacentral:rRNA from 1 species
UGCAGUCGAACGAUGAUCCGGUGCUUGCACCGGGGAUUAGUGGCGAACGGGUGAGUAACACGUGAGUAACCUGCCCUUAACUCUGGGAUAAGCCUGGGAAACUGGGUCUAAUACCGGAUAUGACUCCUCAUCGCAUGGUGGGGGGUGGAAAGCUUUUUGUGGUUUUGGAUGGACUCGCGGCCUAUCAGCUUGUUGGUGAGGUAAUGGCUUACCAAGGCGACGACGGGUAGCCGGCCUGAGAGGGUGACCGGCCACACUGGGACUGAGACACGGCCCAGACUCCUACGGGAGGCAGCAGUGGGGAAUAUUGCACAAUGGGCGCAAGCCUGAUGCAGCGACGCCGCGUGAGGGAUGACGGCCUUCGGGUUGUAAACCUCUUUCAGUAGGGAAGAAGCGAAAGUGACGGUACCUGCAGAAGAAGCGCCGGCUAACUACGUGCC